CCUACGGGAGGCAGCAGUGAGGAAUAUUGGUCAAUGGACGAGAGUCUGAACCAGCCAAGUAGCGUGAAGGAUGACUGCCCUAUGGGUUGUAAACUUCUUUUAUAUGGGAAUAAAAUGUUCCACGUGUGGGAUUUUGUAUGUACCAUAUGAAUAAGGAUAGGCUAACUCCGUGCCAGCAGCCGCGUUAAUACGGAGGAUCCGAGCGUUAUCCGGAUUUCUUGGGUUGAAAGGGAGCGUAGGGGGUGUGUUAAGUCAGUUGUGAAAGUUUGCGGCUCAACCGUAAAAUUGCAGUUGAAACUGGCAGUCUUGAGUACAGUAGAGGUGGGCGGAAUUCGUGGUGUAGCGGUGAAAUGCUUAGAUAUCACGAAGAACUCCGAUUGCGAAGGCAGCUCACUGGACUGCAACUGACACUGAGGCUCGAAAGUGUGGGUAUCAAACAGGAUUAGAUACCCGAGUAGUC
rnacentral:rRNA from 1 species